UACAUAUACAUAUACAUAUGUGUAUGUAUACAUAUACAUAUAUAUAUGUAUAUAUGUAUAUAUAUAUAUAGUAGGGCUAUUAUGAGUACGGCUAGAAUACUUGUAAAAGUAUCAUGGGGGUGAUACUUGUGUGUUUUUAGCCCUUGGAUGGAGAGAUGUAAGGUUGAGAUGAUGGUGGUAGGUGGUGGUAGGUGGAAUAGUGUUUAAUCCAAGGGCUAUUAAUAAUCAAAAAGUAGAUCCAAUGGCUUAAAACCUAAUAGCACCAUGAUGGUGAUACUUGUAAAAGUAUCAUAGCUCAACUCGGGCUAUUAUACUAUUAUGAGUAUAGAGCCCUUUCGUACUCGUAAAUUGUUUUCAAUGUUAGGGUUUUCGAAUCGACGAUCCACACCGUUAAACAUGAUCUAGAGUAUUUGAAACUUCUAGAAAAUAAAUUUCGUAAUUUUUCAAAAUCAUUAUAAAGUCCAUCAAGCGGGUAUAAAAUGAACGGUCAAAAUCAAACAAAAUCCUAAAAAUGGAUGAUCGGAUCCUUCAAUUUAAUAUUGGAGUUAUUGAUCUUUAUUUAGGUAGUGAAUAGAAUUUUUUAUCAAAAAUUUAAUCUAUUCCGAUUCUUUUACACCGUUAACUAGCAAAUAUUCCAUACCGACCGUUAAAAAUUGUCAAUUUUGUGAGCUUUUGAUCGUAGGGUGAAUGAUAUCGAAAAUUAUAAAAUUUAAUUUCUAAAAGUUUUAAAUGCUCUAGAUAAUGUUUAACGAUAUGGAUCGUCGAUUCCACAACUCUAUCAUCGAAAACAACUUAUAAGUACGAAGUCGAUCAUACUCAUAAGAGUAUAGUAUAUAUAUAUCACUCUACAUGAGUGAGGCUAGUAUGCUUCUUGGAGCACGGAGCCCUCCGUGCUUCCAAGUCGUUUCCGAUGUUGAAACUUUCAAAUUGACGAUCGGCUCCGUUAGAUUUAAUCUAGAGUAUUUGAAGUACCUAGAAAUAAUUUUUGUGAUUUUUCGAUAUCAUUUGCCUAGUGAUCAAAGGGGCUCAAAAUCAAUAAUUUUAAUGGUCGUGGUGAGCCGUUUGCAAGUUUAACGGUAUAGAAAUAUUCAAAUCACGUGAAAUUUUGAUAGAAAAUAUUUUUUUACUAUAUAAAACAAGAUCAAUAUCUUUAAUCUAAAAUUUUAAUAUCAUAUCAUCACAUUUUGCAAAAUUUUUAAUUUCAGCCGUUGAUUUUGAGUUCCUUCGAUCACUAGGUAAAUGAUAUCGAAAAAUCGCAAAAUUUAUUUUCUAGAUACUUUAAAUACUCUAGAUCAAGUCUAACGGAGCCGAUCGUCGAUUCAAAAGUCUCAACAUCGAAAACGACUUAGAAGCACGGAGUCCGUGAUUCCAGAAGCAUACCAGCCUCACUCUACAUAUA
rnacentral:lncRNA from 1 species